CUGAUUUAUGUGGCAGUCCCGUGUCAUACUCUCAACCUGAAAAGGAUUUGCUCUCUUAUAUUUACCAGGGUGGUCAGGGCAGCUCUCUGGAAACACAGAAAGCCCAGUCUCCGGGCCUCGCUCCCAGCCAGUCUUUUCUACCCCUCUGUGCCAAUAACGUGGACAUUUUGGACCUUACCAGAAUCAACCGAGGCUCCAGAGUUUCCAUAGUGGUGUGUUUCAGCAGUGCAGAGGUCAGAGUCCGUGCACCCUCGCCCACACAGCCGCAUGACCACGUUUUGGUAUGCAGAUACACAGACGCAGUGUCCGGCUGAGAUCUCCUCGUCCCACCACCUCUGUGAGCAGAUGUGAACAGAUGUGACGAGCAGAAGGUGACCAGGAAAAGAAAACAAAACCACAAAAGACUCGUCCUCGUGCCUUCCCUCCUUCUAGACGUGACGGUAAGAGGAGCGUGAUGAGGAGUAUGUCAGAUGCCAUGUAGGAGUGAGCUGCUGAACUAUACGGCGAAGAGCUUUACGUCCAGCAGAUGACAGGAGACGAUGACUCACACGUGUCUGUACGUUUGAUACACCAGUUUGAGUAUUUAUCGAAUCAUUUUCCUGCCUUCGCAUCUUAAUGAAUCUGUUAUUUAAAGGCAGGGUCACUGAAUUCAUUAGCGUGCUGAGUCGUUGUGUGUUCUUUAACGUGUCUCGUUCUGCAGCGUACAGUAUGUCUGUGGAGUUAAUUGUGCCUAAUUGUGUGUGUCCUGGAAUGUGUGCGCUCACCAUAGUUGUCUUUUUGUCUGUAGCCUCCGUGUGCCCGUGUGCCAACGCAAGUGUGUGCCCAUAUGUGGGUGUAUGAGUGCUCCCCUGUUACUCAGUGCCUGCGUGUGUGCCCAUGUGUGUUGUACGCAGCCUAUUAGUGGAGUUUAACCCCUGUGUUCAGGGAGUCACAUCCCCUCAACACACCAGUCUCCAUUCUUACUGCAGCACGUUAACAUUUUACUCUCCUCCCUCCCCACCCACCCCCUUCACUUUUGUCCUAAGAGGGCAAUUAAGGAAACAAACGUUUUCCCUAAGAUAAGCUGGCUGCCAGCUUUGCAUACUAAUGCAAUGCCAAGUGGUUACAAAUAGUGAGUGCUCUAAUUACCGGCACUGUUUUCAAUCAGAAAUUGCUCAAUUUCCCAGGAUGAGGUCUCAUGGCUGGAGAAAAAAAGCACAACCUGACAGAGGCAAGAGACAAUCAUCUCUAUGUGGAGUGUGGCUGAUUUUACCUCCCUAUGCGUGUGUGUGUGUGCCCACAUGUGUGCACACGUGUUGGUGCAAAUAAGCUCAUCUGCUUGUGUGUGUGUGUGUGUGUGUGUGUGUGUGUGGACCCCGGCACAGCCCUCUCUAUCACCGCUGCCCUUGACAAGUCAAGAAAUGGAUCCUGUCAGCCGCUGCAGCAUUUAGCACCACAAUUAUCCCUCCUUUCACAGCCUGGCUGCAUUAAUGUAAACCACACCAGGCAGUAGUUGCCACUCAUUGAUGAGCACGAUGUGGUGCACCAUCUCUGGGUGAGCAAUUUGAUGCAAUUGUGUUGCUGUGUGAUCAUCAGUGCAAAUCAGGGCCUUGCUCAUUUAUUAAGCAAUUUCUGCCGGAGAAAAUUAGAAGGAAGGCUCUUUUGAUUUGGCAGCAGAUCUUAAUAUCUCUCAAAAGCAACAAUAAUGCAUAAUAUGGCUGACAUCAAACAAAAAGAGGGGACAUUCGAGUGAGUUUUUGCCCGCGUCAACCCAUCAGGGAGGGGGUUUACUAUUCUGAGAGGAGCGGCCAUCAUCAUGUGGCCACAGGAGCAGGGGGCAGCACAGACCAAAGUGACAACGACUCGCUCCCUGGGUCUGAGAAAGAGUCGCUCCAUAGGAUGCGCACGCAGGACCCAUCCGAUGGCCUUAGCUGACCUUUAGCUCUGACAGUGGCUAAUGGAGGGCUGGCCCUCGAUCAAUGCACCGAGAGACUGGGCUCCCCAUCCCUGCCCUUUCACCGGGCCAGGAAGGGAGGGGUGCUGCCAGAAGCCACGCCACGGAGCCAUCGACCCUGCCACUUUCCCAUCCUGUGGGUGACAGCUGCGGUGCCAAUGAGCCUGGGGACGCCACGCUGCCCUGCCACGUAGGAAGGACAGCCAGCAACUCUAUCUCUGUGGUGGUCGGAGAGAAAGUCACUGAUGAUCCGUUUGUGAAUGUCAGAUUCAUGUAAACAAGCCCCCACUUCUGGUGUUGAUGAUAGCGUGGCCUGAAUACCUGCACAGCAAGACGACACUUGAUCAUAGUUGCCAGAUGUGUUAUUAUGUGGUGGGUGAAAUGUGUUCUGUUUUCACCUCAAAACUUUUUCUUAUUUUUUUCAUUAAUUUGUGCCUUUCUUUCUUUAUUCAUUCAUUUAUUUGUUUAUUUAUAUGUUUGUUUGUUUGUUGCCACCUUCGCCUCAACCUGUUCAUGCUGCUGUUUGGCAAAAGAUACACAAGUAUUCACAGCUGUACCUUCAGACAGCUUCGCUCCUCAGGUACAGCUGUGAACUCAUCCUCCACGUUCCACCAUGAAAAGAUCAUUUUUGUGAUUUGAUUAUUUGUUAAAUAUAGUCUUUUUUUUCUUUAUGUGAACAUAUGGAACUCCAACUGUGGUUUCGUUACACAAUCUGGAAUCCAAAGAGCUCUUCCAUUGCUAUUUUAUCGAGUUUUAAAAAUGCGCAGUGCUUAUUAAGGUUGGUGUUGAACCCACACAAAGAAAAGUCGUCAUGCCUCAACAGCUUUGUUUAUGAAGACAGGUUGUAUAUAAUUGCUUUAAUUCAAAGCAACACUGUAACUUUUAAAGCAGUUCGGGAAAAAGUUGGUCGAGUGUCGAGACUCGUUCCCGGAUAGAGGUCCAAAAGCCAACGACCGAAUUCGGAAUUAGAUUUUGCUUUGGUGUUUGACAAUCUGGGCAUUAGAGAUGUGGCGUACCCCGCCACGCGCCCAAUGUUAGCUUGGAUCGACUCUAUUCCCCCCGUGACUCUGCAAAGGAUAAGGGAUUACAGAUGACGGGUGGAUGGAUGCAAAGAGACUCAACAAUCAACUUAAGUUCUGCAGAAAGUUAGAUAACGUUUCUUUAAACUGAACGCAGAUGGACCUCCUGUGACCUUCUGUCAGUAAAAAGUUGCACCAACAAAGCCCGACUCCUGCACAACCCUUGUCCAGUGAAGCUGUGUUUCCAUUUUUUUUUUUUUGCCUUCUUUGCAUUCACUUAAAAUGCUACUGUGGGGAACACGUCUCGUCGUGCAGCACCGUGUCUCUAAGAUGUGCCUGAUGUUGUUCUUGGGGAUGUACUUUGUAACCCAGAUGGUGCACCACUGUAUACCUUUUAUCAGAGCAGCCUUUUGUCAACAUGCAAUGCAUGCAUUAAAAAAAAAAAAAAAACCACAGACAGCAAUAUUUACUGUGCAUUUUAAUUGCACGCGCUUCAGUUCAAAAACAUUUAGAGACAUUCGAAAACAACAGCAGAUAAAACAUUACUUCCAUAUGGGGAGAGCGGAGAGGACAUCCAAGAGGUUUAGCGCAGAUUGUUCUUUUUAUUAUCAUUAACAGUAAUGUGAUUCUGAAGCCCCCUGUGACCCCCUCACAGCAGCACCUCAUCUCAGAAGUCAUUCAUUAGAACAACCAGAAGGCAGGCAGAGAGACAGCGCGAAAGAGACAUGGGGAGAGAGCGAAGUGUAAAAUAAAUUAGACUGUUCUUAUGAGCCAGAUGAACCUUGAUGAACCAGUCUGAGAAGGGAAAAAGGAAAAGCGUGCCGCUGAAAUUCAAAGAAAAUCUAAUAGCGCAGUGUUUGGGAGAUGAAGAUGUCACACGGAGCUCCGUGAUCCAGUUGUCGGUGCCGCUAUGUGUGUAAUCACGGCUACACUUACUGUCCACUUUGGAUUGUAGGGCCCGCGGGGAGUCUUGGAAUACGGGUGUGUUUGGACUGAGAUUGGGCUGUUUGAGACCACGGCCUGAUGCCGGCUGUGGUGAAACUAAUCAAAAAGCUUCUUAUGUCUUCCUCCUCUGAUAUAAAUGGAUUGUACAGUCUUUUCCCUCCCCACGAUUUGUCCCAGUGUUUACUAAAUAAGACUUCUUACAGUGGAGGGAGAGUAAAAGGCCACCUCUCUCAAUUAAGCCGUUCCGUAAGAGCAGUCGAGGCGGCGUGUCUCCGUAUCUACGUGCCCCGCUGCUGCUUCUUAUCUCACCGGGCCUGUACAGGUCUGAAUGACCCACCUCUAUACGCGCUAUAAUGUGUGAAACUAUGCGCAGGAAAUGGCAGGAACGCGAUGCAGAGCGGUCAGAGGCUCACGUCGGGCCAGGGCGGCAGAGGAGAAGCAGGAGAUGGGGUGGCGUGGGGGGCUCAGAGGGGAGGUGGUGGAGGGGAGGUGGUGGCGGUGGCGGUGGUGGUGGUGGUGGGGAGCCGUGUGGAUCCUUGGAGUGGUGUGACAGACUCCCCAGCCUCCUGGUAGGAUUUGUUGGAAUGUGAGAGAGGAGGAUUUUAGCACCAGGCGAGCCACGCCAGAGUGCUGCAGACUUCAUGCCAUCUGUCUCAGCCUCCAUCCUCUCUUUGCCAAACUCGUCAGACCUUUAUUUCCUCUCCCUCUAUCUCCUUCUCAUCCCUGUUCACAAGAGUAGCAGACAUACUGAGAUCUGCUAAUGUAUUGGAGGGGGGGGAAAAAAAAUGGCUGGGCUUAAUAAGCAGAUUCAGAGAAUUUGCGAUUGAUUAAUAUGUAUUCUUGGAGCUAAUUGUCCAACAGCCCUCAUGGAGAUAAAAUGUGUGUUCGAUAGCCCUGCCAUUUGUUACUUGACCAACGGGGAAGGAGAGAUAGAGAUUUUUCAUACCAUAGCAAAUCUGUUGAUCAGUUAAUAAUGAAACAUGUUUCAAGUGGGAGCCAAGAAGUUCACUUAAUUUAAUGCAUCAUUAUAAACAAGCUAUUACCUUUAUUAACUUUUGUAUCGUGCUGUAUGCUGCUAUGAAUAAUGCCUGAUUAAAAAUAUGAAUGAAUAAUAAUCUGGGUGGUUUCUUCUGUCACUGCACUGAGAACAGACUGAUGGAAAUCAAAAUCAGAGAUUAAAGUCCACUUGACAUCUAUCAGAACCAUGAAAAUGAGAUUUGUAACUGAACUAUUAAAAGGACCAGAUCACCUCCGUAUACGCAGAGAUGUGUAUCUUAGGCCGUGAUUGAAUCAGAAACAAGAUUUUCACAUCAAAUGCGCGUGUGAUUGUGCGGCGUCUGAAUGGGUCUGAUCUCUCACCCUCUCUCCCCGUGUGGGCGACUGGGGAGGAGGCUGAAGGAGAUCACAGGGAGGAGCUGCGCCGGCUCCAUGUCCUUAACCUGUUCUCGGGAAGGGCAACCGAGGGUGGAGGGAAUGGAAAGGAAAUGCACCCUUUGUCCGAAAUAGAACACCAGGUGGCAGGAAGUGGGCAGGAGGCCUUUGAAGCUGACCCCCGGACUCUGCGCUGAGAUGGCCUCGGCGAUCGAUCGGGGCCAGAGAUGGCGGGGAGCGGAGCCAGGUGCCC